GACGAACGCUGGCGGCGUGCUUAACACAUGCAAGUCGAACGGAAAGGCCCUGCUUUUGUGGGGUGCUCGAGUGGCGAACGGGUGAGUAACACGUGAGUAACCUGCCCUUGACUUUGGGAUAACUUCAGGAAACUGGGGCUAAUACCGGAUAGGAGCUCCUGCUGCAUGGUGGGGGUUGGAAAGUUUCGGCGGUUGGGGAUGGACUCGCGGCUUAUCAGCUUGUUGGGGGGGUAGUGGCUUACCAAGGCUUUGACGGGUAGCCGGCCUGGGAGGGUGACCGGCAACAUUGGGACUGAGAUACGGCCCAGACUCCUACGGGAGGCAGCGGGGGGGAAUAUUGCACAAUGGGCGGAGGCCUGAUGCAGCAAGGCCGCGUGCGGGAUAACGGCCUUCGGGUUGUAAACCGCUUUCGCCUGUGACGAAGCGUGAGUGACGGUAAUGGGUAAAGAAGCACCGGCUAACUACGUG
rnacentral:rRNA from 1 species